rnacentral:tRNA from 1 species
GGGUUCGUAGCUCAGUGGCAGAGCAGUCGGCUCUUAACCGAACGGUCGAGGGUUCGAAUCCCUCCGAGCCCA